UCGCUCGCUCGCUCGCUCGCGGCGCUGGGGGCUGGGCUCGCCGCGCCUUCCUUCCAGAGCCCGCAGCCCGGGGCUGUCCCGCGGCUUGGGUGGCGCUCGGGUCCCUUCGCCCGCAGCAAUCCUACGAGCCGCGGCCGCUCGAUCCCCCCGGAGGCGGCGGGCAGGUGCGGGAGCUCGGCGCGGGCUCCCCAUGGACUCCGCGUGCAAAGUGCCGCACACUUGGAUGCGCGUAAACACGCCGGCUCCGGAGCGUACCUGGAAAGGUGUUUCGCCUGCCGUGAGCGAGUUCUAGGAUGGGACCCGGAGCACCGCGCGUGGGGACACGCGCAGCGCACACGGCGAGAGGGGUUUGGUGAAAACGCAAAGCUGAAAUUGAAGUUUGUGCGCCCAAAUGUGCGACUUGUCCGAGGGGUCUAUCGGGAAGGUUUGAUGGAUCAGUUCUCAUUGCGCGAAAAUAAAGCCAUAGACAGAAUGAAUGUUCACUAAGUGUGCACCGCGGGGUGAUAUCCACGGGAGUUUAUAUUCUCUACUUUCUGCAUGCGUCUGGCACGUGAAGGCGAUUUCUGAAGUACAGUUUGGCUGCCCAAUAAUAUCAAAAUGUGGCUGCGGGAGCGCCGAGGAUUUUUAAAAUACUGCGGUGACUUUCCUGAGUCUUUCAAAAAACUGGGCCGUAAGAGGCAGCCUUCCUUUUAAUUCUAACAUAUAUCUUGAAUCUCUGCUUUUCUGUUACUAUCUUUAAAAAUACUUUGCAACCUUCUUUGGUGAAAGGUUCUAGUUUCAAGUUGUCAAAACAUUUGGAAACAUAUGUAUUCUUGUCAAGCAGUGGUCUUCCUUUAAGUGCUUCAACAUAAAUUUUCAAAGUAUCAUUUGAAGUAAUCUUCACAGCUAUAGACUGUGCCGCCUAACAAACUCGUUCAGCCAAGGUCAAUGACUCUCCCCUGAUGGGCCCCUCCCUGGAGGCGGCACUCGGUUACCUGUUCUGACAGGCAUAGCUGGAAGAGUGGAAAGGCCACCAAAGAAAAGUCUAUGGAGUUGCAAAAGCCCUUUCUACCAGAAAAGUUCAAAGCCUGAGCCUGGGUGUCCCCGGAGCUAUUGUCACUUAUAAAAGAGGGAGUGUUAGAUUAAACAGUGUCACCUGAUGGGAAUGUAGAUUACACUGGGUUUCCAAAACACUUCUGUCCAGUUCAGGGAAACUGCACUGAGGAAGAGAAAGAGGAGGCCUGGUUCAGUCCUUCAGCUGCCCAGAGCAUUUAGUAUCUUACCAUUGUGUAAGAACUGCCCACUGGUAUGCUGUUUGCUCAACAUAAACCUCACAGUGCAAUGCAGGUUCUUUGUUGGAAACACCCACUAGGAUGGUGGGAUGGGUGGGGAAAGCUGAUUCCCAGAGCCCUGGACCUAGACAACCACUACAAGAAAAUCAAGCCACACUUUGAGUGGAUAAGGAUGCUCCCCAGUCUUUCCAAGUGAUUCCUAGCCUCCCAGGAGACACCUCUUCCAAAGACCCAGCUUCUUCAAGGUGUUCUCUGUCCACUGGACAAGGAGGGGGAGAAUCUGUUCGUUAAGUGCACUGUCUUAGGACAUAAACUACUUUAUUUGAAUGGCUUGACAGAAAUUACACAGUUGGGGGCCUGUACCUUAAACUUGCUCCAGUAAAGUGCCCUUCAAGCUU
rnacentral:lncRNA from 1 species